rnacentral:rRNA from 1 species
CAACUCGGCUGCAUGAAGCUGGAAUCGCUAGUAAUCGCGGAUCAGAAUGCCGCGGUGAAUACGUUCCCGGGUCUUGUACACACCGCCCGUCACACCAUGGGAGCCGGGAAUGCCCGAAGUCAGUGGCCCAACCGCAGGGAGGGAGCUGCCGAAGGCAGGCCCGGUGACUGGGGUGAAGUCGUAACAAGGUAGC